rnacentral:rRNA from 1 species
UACGUAGGUGGCAAGCGUUGUCCGGAUUUACUGGGCGUAAAGAGCGCGCAGGCGGUCGUUCAAGUCGCGUGUGAAAGCCCCGGGCUCAACCUGGGAAUGGCAUGGGAAACUGGCGAACUGGAGUGUGGCAGAGGGGGGUGGAAUUCCGCGUGUAGCAGUGAAAUGCGUAGAGAUGCGGAGGAACACCGAUGGCGAAGGCAGCCCCCCUGGGCUGACACUGACGCUCAGGCACGAAAGCGUGGGGAGCAAACAGG